UCGCCCCCGUGUGUUGCAAAGCCGCUUUCGCGGCAACUCCGCAACGCGUUAAUCACUAAUUGUUUAUAUUUUAUUAAUAUUUAACGUUCACUUCCCUCACGUUUGAGGAAAAUACCCUCAUCGCUAUUGUUACUGUCGUCACCGCGGCUCUUAUCCGCGUGUUUUUUUUAUUAUUUCAUGCGCCGUGACCGAAAGGCAGGCAGGGCCCUCUUUCUUUGCCUUCACCGCCUGAAGCGAACGCGAAGUUCUGCCGAGCUGCGGCGAUUAAUGAAUGAGCGCUAUUUAAUUAAGAGUUGGAUUGCUCGGCUUAAUUGGUCGCGUCGGUUGUUUUAUUGGGGGGAUGAGCGGAUUUUAACUUGAAUCGAUAUGUCCCGAUCACUCAGAAUCAAGAAAGCAGUUGAUUACACUCAGCCUAAGGACUUUGAAGACGAUGACGAUGAUUUCUCAUCGGCCUCUCUUCCGCCAAGCAAAAGAUCUCGGGUGGUGACCAAUUCUGACGAUGGAGAUGGCGACAAGGCAAAGAGAAAGCCUGAAAAGAGGGCCUUGAGCGGAACCAAGAAGUCCAGUCAAGACACGGCCUUGAACACAGCAGCAAAAACAGCAAGAGACGAAAGACCAUCCCUGGAUGAGCGUCUCUUUGAGAGGGACCUCAAGAAGGUCCUUGCCCUCGCUGGUGAUCAGACGGAAAUCGCGGUGUCUUCGCGGGAGAGUUCACAGGAAGCCAUGGGCAGUGCCAACGUCAACACUGACGACGCAGCCGACGACGAGACGGGCGAGUCCUCCGAGUCUGCUGGGGAGUCGGACAGCGAUGACAGCAACUACAAGAAGCCCGUCAGGAGGUCCAAGGCACCCAGGUCCACUGCUGCAGCCACCGCCGCGGACAGGAGAGGGACCAAAGCAGCCGUGGCCAGGGGCAGCAGAAUAAAGGGCGCGGCACGUGGAGCCAGGGCGGAUGUUGGGCCAGAUCCUGCACCUCGACAAUCACCGAAACGCAGCCCCCCGCCUGUCCUCAAUAAAGCCGGUGUCACAGCUCGUGCCACGGCAUCGCGUAAACCCAAGUGGGUUCCUCCAGCUCCAGCGAGUAAAAACAAUGGCCUGUCACCGGGCACAACAAACCAAUCGCCAGGUCCGACCUUGCGUCUUGGCCUCUCGAAACGAGCCAAGCUGACGCCACUCCACCCCGGCUCUACGUGAAACUGCCACGGACCAACACGGCCCGCCACAGCCGCCAGCCACUGACUCUUUCCACAUGCCAUGGACUGUCCCACAGUCAACAUCUAAGCCAUUCCACUUGCCACGGUCUGCGACUGAGCCAUUCCAAAUACCAAUCACUGCCACAGUCUGCCACUGAACCAUGGCCUUGUCUGGGACAACCACUGACCCAUUCAACUGCCAAGGGCUACUACCACUGACAGCCCAAGUGCAACUCAACUUGCCAUUACUCAACAUAUACAAGACCCGCCAUGCCUCACUAGGUAUGGUCUGCUAUAAGCUAACCUGACUUGCCACGAGUGCACACUGCCAUACAAGCUACCGUAGAGAUUGCCACAGCCCGCUGUGAGGUGACUGCUACCUGCCUGCAGCGACGGCCUAAAACGUGGCUUCUAGACUGACUUGAACCACCGCCGAAGUCAACUUCACCUGCCAUGGCUUUUCCCUGGCUGCCCUGACCGGCCAUAGCUGAAAUCUGAGGCACGGUUUAAUAGUGAAAGCCCUUUAUUCCAUUUUAAUAGCACGGCUUUUUUUAGCACGUGGUUGAAAAUCAUCUGAAUAACUUAGUUUUAAUGAUUUUUGUUAGAGUCUGUAGAGCAGUUUAGUACUGAAUUUUGCAUACUGUUAUAUACCACGAGUAUUUUGUGUAAACUUUGACGCAAGACUGGUUAUAAUUACGUAUGACGUCGCAAGAUAUUGCCUGGACUCUCACUCGGUUUCAGGAAACUAGAAAUGUUUUCAUCCUGGGCUCGCUGCACAACUCUCAACCCAUUGUCCUGAAAUUUAAAGAUGUGACCCAAAACUCAAACGGCUGUUAUCUUGCAGCUACAUACCGAUAUUGUGUUCCCAGGACACGCAGCCUAGGGAUGCGUCUGAAAGAGAAGAGCUACAGAUUUUCCUCGCAAUAUGCGGGUUCGGUUUGUGCGAAUUUGCGCUGUAUAUUUAUCCCCAAAAUUCGUUAUAUGCGGUUUCACGGCUAUGCGGUCGGACGUGGGAAACAUUGUGUGCGUGUACUGUACACGCUACUCGGCAGGCAGCUGUAUUCUUGUGCGGUUUCGCUUUGUAUUCCCUUUUUUUGGUACGCAUCUACUACUACCGCAUAAAUCUAGGAAAACCUGUCCUUGUUAUGUUUUGCUUGCAUCUAGAAGGGUUUAGGGGUCUGGAUGCAAUGUGGCUUCGUGCUCCUUUACCACAAGACAUUCCAAAUGCCUGCCCUCAGAAAUACAAUCCACGUUUUAAUAUACAGUGUUACCUCGGUAUACGCCAUUAAUUUGUUCCAGAAGGUAGGACUUAUACCGAAAAUGACGUAUACCAAAUGAAUUUUUUCCGUAAGAAAUAAAGGGAAAGUAAAUAAUCCAUUCCAGAGUAUAAGAAAUAAUAUUUUAUAUGGCAUAUUAUACAUUAAUGGGGUUGUAUAAAAUAAUUUAGACACUACUUAUUACUAAAAUGCAUACGUAAAUUAAAAUAAAUGCAUGAAUCAAAAUACAUUUAAAUAAAAUGUAACAUCACUUUACCUUGCUUAGAGGAGUUGAUAGCCUACGAGGAUGGUGGUGAGUAAGGGGAGGAGACGUGAACGGGGUCUACGCGGGUACGCGGUGACUCGUCCCGACCCAUACAAGGUCUAGCAAGCGCGUCGUAUCCCAAGCAAGACGUCGUAUCCCAAGACAUUUUUUUCUCAAAACACGACGUAUACCAAAUUCGACGUAUUCCAAAGUGGUCGUAUACCGAGGUAUGACUGUAUACACAAAUAAGAUUAGUGCAGCAGCAACAGGUAACGGUUUUAAUUUGCAUUUUCAUAGAGAAGACCGGUCAGUGUAUAAAGCUGGACUGUACAGGGGCCCUUAGAUGUGGACAUUUAAUGUAUCUUUUAUAAGACAUUGCAUGAGAAUACUGUAUUAUUAUGUCAGUCUAUAUAAAGCAAUUCGGUUGAUUUAAAAAGAACGGUUUUUAAUAUGCUUUGUGAGUGAAAAAGACAAAUCUCGACGUCAGUGGCCUUCAUGAAUAAGAAUGGCCUCAAACGGUUGUUGUGAUGGUAGUCAAGGCAGCCGUGGCUGUGAGACCUUGCUAAUGCUUUACCUAUGGUGAGAGGCCUCUCCCUGGAGCUGAUACGUUGCACUGUGUGCUGGGCAUGUAAAUUGUUCCAUCGAUUGACAUCGAUUAGGGUUACCUACAUCGAUUUCGGCAUCUUAAAAAUGUCUUAACUGUUUACGUAAAUUACCUGCAAAUCAUAUACUCGUGGAAUUUUUGUCUAAUGGAACAAGCAAGAUGUGACGGAAUACAAAAUACGAAACAGGAAAUAUAAUAAAUGAGUAUUCAAGAGACAAAUACAAAUGUAUUGAAUCAUAACACUGGUCAACACACUUUUUCUGGCAAAAAACGGUUUUAAGGUAAUUUUGGGAUGCUGAUUCCAAAUCUGCAUCAGUUUUUGUCUAUCACAUCAGGUUUUUGAAAUAUCAAAUAUUGCAUUUUUAAUAAAAACUGCAGAAGAAAAAUAUUAAAUAAAUGUGGAUAUCUACAUAAAAUGAUAUUAUAAACACACUAUCCUAAAAAUACAGCACCAUAUUUUAACACUAAAGCAGUCACUGACUCGCAACAACUUGCAAUCAUAAGUGAGUUAAUUUCGGGUAAAAUCAAUGAAAAUGGGGUAUGCCGAUAGCAUAGAAUGAGAUGUGAUAGAGCAAAUCUGAGAUCAGAUUUGGAAUCAGCACCCUGAAAUUAGUCUAAAACAGUGUAACCAGUGUAAUCAUAGCUCGAAUCCUGACAAUUCAUUAAAUGACUGGCAAGGUGAAUCGAACUUGAUACAUACACACAAACACAUACUGGAUUACCGCUCCGUUUUCGGCUUGGGAACUGCUGCGUAACCGGGCGUGUGAGUGCACGCACAAUUACUGUCGUGCCCGCGAAAGAAGCUGUUUGCAUAGUUGCGUGAUUUUGUUUUCUUCGUCGUACCCAUUUGCUGUGAAGCGUGUGCCAAAUUGGCUACUAAAGCCACGUUUGCAGAGUUCACCAUGGAAACGACAAACUAAUCAAAACUGUCAUUUUGUUGUUGCGUGGCAUGAAGGAUGAGAAUCCACGAUCGCUCGCCAGUGUUUCGUCAGGCUUGGCCGCGUGUUGCUCGGCGUGAUGUCCGAUGUUUCGCUGCACGUGGUACAACCCGAAAACGAUCGAGAGAGCCACACAGCAGCAUAACCGCGACAACCUCCAUUGCUCCUCCCGCACUACUGCACAAAAAGUGUGCAAGCAUGGGCAUAAAAUUGUCUUCUGAUAACACAAAAGAGAGUAAUGUUUCCAAGUGGUAUUUAUUUAAGUUGUGGCAACCUUGUUAACUCCGUUAUAAUCGUACUUGUAAUCCACCUAAUUGCGUCAUAAUUUAUUUACCCGAGGCAGCCUCAACGAAUCUUAAAGUGUUUGUUUUUGGAGGAUUCCUACUUUGCAAGGUUUUGCUAUUUCAUGAAUAUUUUUCGUCACGUGUGGAAGACGUUAACAGCUUAAAGUAUCGUCGUUUUCACACGCUGUUAUGAUCCAAUGACCAAUGGUGUUGCGCAUAUCUAUGCUGGGAAGUCCAUGUCGCUCUGAAAUUCCACAUUCCCAUGGCAGUGCAGUGCGAAUGAUAACAGAGCCCUUCUAAAUCGUCACGUGCAGCCUCUAUGCCUGAAUUGUACUUGCAAAUCAUCCAAUGGCAUGUCAAAUAUUAACUUGACCGCUGACUGUAUGUUGACUGUACGGUUUCCUCUGUACUGCGACUACAUCUUAAAACGCUGUACACACAACGCGAACGUGUACGUAGUGGGAACAUGAGACAGAUAUGGUUGUUUAGGCUGUGUUCAGAGAGAAUGGGAGAUAGAGGAGACGUCAGGGAAGAGAGGGUAGAAGGCACUUCAUUGGGGAGUCAUAGACAGAAGAGAAGAGGGUGGCAUUCAGUCUGCCACCUGAACGCUUAAAUAUUACCAAAGCAGAAAAGUAUAAAUUCGUCAUGUUCUGGAUACUUCUGCAUCAUUUAUACGUUUGGGUCCCAGUAUUCGCAGACUCCUCAAUGUUCAUAGACCCGGUGCCGUUUUCCGAACAGGCCACACCGUGCUGUCUGUGCAGUUAAAUAAAUGCCGCUUGGGAAAUAUUGGUCAGUCAGCUGGACGACUUGACAGACUAAACUUAGUUAAUGUACUGUAUUAUCGAUUGUGUGAACAUCUUUUAAAGCAUGUUUUAUUGUCAAAGAAUAUAUUAAAUUACACAUGCAUCUUGUAAUGAAGAAGAGGUAUUUGUGAAUAAAACGUGUUUAUUGGCGUUGUUGAGUGUUUAGUAAUUCAUAUCGCUUGUGGCGGUCAAAUGCAUCUGUGCGUAUGCAGUUAUAUUCAUGCAACCCGCAUGUCCAGCCACCGCAAGACUCAAAUUCAGCUAAGCUCAACAAAUGUCCCCGAACUAUUGAGCCCAUCCAGCAAGUCACCUGUCGCGUGGUGUCACGCUAUAAAAAUGUGAACGAACAUCUUUUUUUGCUUCUACUACACGUGGAGUGACGGGUUUACCUUGUUUACGUCUACACGUGUGCGCUCGUCACCUUUCGACUUUGCGUUCAGAGAGAAACCCCCCCCACCGCUGCCAUCGGUCAAAAACGUCAGCAGUGACGCUCAGCAGUGACGCUCAGCGCAACGAAUGGCCUUGGGGGGCCCUCUCGGGAGGCACAUGGCCAUACGACAACAUUCAGCCUCCCGAGCCAUUGGUGAGAAAUUCUACCCCUCCCGACGGUGGAAAAGCCAGACCUUCGUUGGCUAUGGGCAACGACUUGUAACAAUGAUAGCAAUGCCCGUUCGUUUUACCCAGGAUAGGCUGACGGAGUCUCAAGAAUCUUUUUUUUUUAACGAGGGUCUUGCUAACAAUUUGGAUGUUUGGCCAAUCUCCGUAUCAAAUCGGUCGAUCCAUGGCAUGCAUCGUUCCACCCGUAAAAAUGUGCGGCAAGGUUUCACCAGCCUGCAAUGACAAACGUGGGUGAAGUAUGGCGAAAUUACCCACACACACACCACCUCAUGCUCUGCACAGCGUAGGGAAACCCUCACGCAGCAGCGGAUUUACAAACGGGCCACCUUGGCAAAUGGGCAAGGUGUAACACAGACACAUAUCUCCUGCCCCCCCCCACCCCGUAACAUCUGAAACAGACUGUUGAAGCAAGUGCUGUAGGCCGGCACGGCACUACGAGGGGGUGUGUGGCUUAACAACCACGCCCGGCCGCCUUUGUCUCCCCAGUGUUGAUGUUUACACAUUUAAGACGGGAUUCAACCUAAGGUGGUUCGGUCAGGACCGCUUCGGAUAUAUUCAUCAACGAUGCUGGUGGCCGUGGGCGAGGGAAUCGAACUCUGGUCGCCGGGUUCGUUGGCGCAGUGUCGAUCACCCCCAAAGCAACUGGGUGAAGGGGUCGGCUCUUGAAAGUGACUGCUUUGUGAACUUAUCAAUUAAGGACGACCCUCUCGUGUUCACCAUUCACAAACAAAAGCACAUGCUCUUCUUGUUAUUUUCUGUUUUUCGAUCUCCCCUGGGUCUAUGAUUAUAACGACGACGACGCAUCAUCAUUACAAGCAACACCGAUCGUUGCGGCUCACGACUUUACGUCGCUGGGGACAACAAGAGUUUGUGGUCAAAGGUGAGGACCGCCACCCCUUUCCUCACCGGAGAGAGAGGCUAUAAUGUCCAAAGUCGUAAAAACCUCCGUCUAUAAACCGAGUUUCGCACGGGGCAAUGUCCUCCAACCUUUGCUACACGGCAGACAGCAAGUCCGGCCCCUUUAGAAGUGCUGCCUGCUUGCUGCUGCUGCUGAGGCUGAUGGUGGUGGUGGAUUGGGCUUUCGCAUGAUUCUCUCUUGCUUUCUCAUCUGCCAGGAGAUGCUCAAAGAAAAACCCAACGCCCAACGAGACUCUGCGACGCGUCACGCGUGUGACACACCCAGGUGACACAGGUGUGUGCAUAUAUAGACCGGAGAGGCUGGCAAGCUGCUUCAGUAUCGCCCGUGAACAAAACAAAUCGCUGCCUCUGUUUAAGCGUGGCAGAAAAUAAGAAGUAUUUCUAAAUAUAUACACACACUGCAAACUGUAGGGUUAAGAUGUCUCUCAAUCAACUUGACCAAGGCUUUGGGAAAACUACGCUCUUUGCUGGCAGGUCCUUGACGUCGACGGGAGAUGACGAGCCGAGUUCCUCGGAGUCUCCGCACCUGAGUCUGAUAGCCUUGCUCCUGCGGGGGCUGGGAGAUGACUUUUACAAAGAGUGCAAGCUAAGGAGGACGUGUGGUGUCAGGGCUGCCCCAUGUGUCCCAUGUUCCGUGAUUUCCCAAGGGACGCUCCUGCUGCUGCCCUCCUCUUGCAACCGGAUUCUGCAGUCGCUGUUCAGCUGGGCGGUGGGAGACUACACGGCGGCACCGCUCUUCGACUGGAGGCCAAAGAAAUGAUGGCGGCUGUCGGCGGCGUAGCGUGUGGUUGGCACGGGCUCCUGGUGCAAGGAACGACAAUGGGGCAUCCCGUGCAAUAUUCCGCCCCACUCUUUGCAGCCUGGCGCCUGGGUCUGAGCGCAGUUGCACCGCCUGCACACUCGACGGCGACGCCACCGGACGGCAUUAUGAUUCAUUCGAAGACGGCAGAUGAACGACGACAACUUCAACUACCUAUUAAUGUUAUAUUUGUUUCGCCCCAUUUUUGCCUCCAACAAUUGCGUUGCCCUCUGCAUCAUGUGUUGACGAAAUGAAGAGGUUGACAUUUGGAACUUUCGCAAUGAGCAGUGUGAGAUCAGUGUGAUGUCGCCGUGCGCCAAGGAAAAUCCACCGCAAGACGAUGUCACACGUGACACCUCCUUGUGGAUGUCCUGAAGCGGGUUGGAAGGUCUCACGGCACCCCGAGGGUGCCCUAGGACUCAUUGGUACUGCCCUGGCUGCCCUGGGGCUCGUUUGUUGUUAGUGCUUGGCAUGAGGUUCGCUCCCCCCCCCCACCCCACCCAACUGUGAUUAAUUUCAUGUCGGACAAGUAUCUUGAGAUGUCAUGAUAUAGAUGCUAUAUUUAAAUUGUUUGAGCAUUUUAUUUAUGAACUAAGUACCGUAUUUAUUGAUUUGCACAUUACGUUAAGCAUGUAAUAAUUCGUUCUACCUCGUCACGAUAAGAGGUCAUGAUUCGAUUGAAAAAUCGCUAUUUAAGUAGCAUCAAGACAAAGCUGCGUGACAUUUUUGUGUUUUCUUCCAGAAUGUUCAUCAGCUAAACGCAGACGAAAGAUAAACAUUAAAAUA